AUGUCUGAGCCUUCCUCCUCCUCCGAGUCUCAACGUGCUGAUUCUGGAGACUUUGGAGACUUUUUGGUCGAGGAGACUCUCAGUCGAGGCUUCAGCGCAGCAGUUUUCCUGAAGCCUUGUUUCAGUGUGAACAACUACGACCCUGCUUACUUUGGCAGAGGCACCAAACUCACAGUGCUGGAACCAGGCCAUGAUGUCUCUGCACCGACAGUCACAGUGUUCCCUCCGUCAGCAAAGGAGUGCAGGAACCAGAGAGACCGUGAGAGGAAGAAGACCCUGGUGUGUGUGGCCAGCGGAUUCUACCCGGACCACGUCAGUGUGUCCUGGCAGGUGGGCGGGGGGGGCCGUCAGCAGCGGGGUGGCCACCGACAGCAGCGCCCUACGGGAAGACAAGGAUCAGACCUACAGGAUCAGCAGCAGGCUGAGGGUCUCGGCCUCAGACUGGUUCACACCGGACCGGAAGUUCACCUGCAGCGUCAGCUUCUUCAACGGGACACACACCAGCCACCAUGAAAACACGGUGGAGGGGGUCGAAGGUUCACAGGUAGCCAUGACCAGAGAGAAAUACUUGAAGACGACCCAGGCGGCCAAACUGUCGUACGUUGUGUUCAUCGUGAAGAGCAGCGUCUACGGCGCCGGCGUGGCCUUCCUGCUGUGGAGGCUGCAGGGAUCAGCGGGGAAGCAGAACAACUGAGAGCCGAGGCCGGAGAAAAUAGAUCCAGGGCAUCAGUAAUGCGUCUGUGAAUCAAAAAGUGUGAGAACAUUGAAGUUAUAUAACCACAGGUCUGCCUGCCUUUCUUCCCAUUCAAUCCAUAUUCCUGUUAAAGCUAUAUGACAUUGAAAUACUUCAACAUUAUAAAUUGUUCUUAUGCUGAUUCUGUGUUUUUGUAUCGCUUGUUCGCUUAAUUUUCUACUCAAUAAAACUCUUUCAUUCCAUCAA